rnacentral:tRNA from 1 species
GGGCCUGUAGCUUAGCUGGUAGAGCGCAGCAUUUGCAAUGCUGAGGUCACCGGUUCGAAUCCGGUCAGGUCCACAA